rnacentral:rRNA from 1 species
UACAGGGGGUGCAAACGUUGCUCGGAAUUAUUGGGCGUAAAGCGCGCGUAGGCGGCUACCUAAGUCGGAUGUGAAAGCCCCUGGCUCAACUGGGGAAGUGCACCCGAAGCUGAGUAGCUAGAGUGCAAAAGAGGGUCGCGGAAUUCCCGGUGUAGAGGUGAAAUUCGUAGAUAUCGGGAGGAACACCGGUGGCGAAGGCGGCGACCUGGGUUGACACUGACGCUGAGGCGCGAAAGCGUGGGGAGCAAACAGG